rnacentral:rRNA from 1 species
UACGUAGGUGGCAAGCGUUGUCCGGAAUUAUUGGGCGUAAAGCGCGAGUAGGCGGGAUGGCAAGUCGGGUGUGAAAGCCCUCAGCUCAACUGAGGAAGUGCGCCCGAAACUACCGUUCUUGAGUGCCGGAGAGGGUGGCGGAAUUCCCGGUGUAGAGGUGAAAUUCGUAGAUAUCGGGAGGAACACCAGUGGCGAAGGCGGCCACCUGGACGGACACUGACGCUGAGACGCGAAAGCGUGGGGAGCAAACAGG